rfam:Stegodyphus mimosarum contig7406, whole genome shotgun sequence.
GCCUUCGGGGUGUAGUGGUCAGCACGCUUGACGCUUAUUUGAGAGGUCCGUGGUUCGAGUCUCGGCGAGGGCA